rnacentral:rRNA from 1 species
AAGAUUCCCUACUCCUACGGGAGGCAGCAGUAGGGAAUCUUCCGCAAUGGACGAAAGUCUGACGGAGCAACGCCGCGUGAGUGAUGAAGGUUUUCGGAUCGUAAAGCUCUGUUGUUAGGGAAGAACAAGUGCCGUUCAAAUAGGGCGGCACCUUGACGGUACCUAACCAGAAAGCCACGGCUAACUACGUGCCAGCAGCCGCGGUAAUUAAAGGGCG